rnacentral:lncRNA from 1 species
AUGAACUCAACGAGAUACUGCAAGAGGUGGGAAAAGUGUCCUCUCUCUUUCCAGCUACAUCUGUCCUCUCUUCCCUCCCCUUACAUGUCAGUUCCCAGCACAGACUGUGUAGAAGAGUGAGUCUAACUAGCUCUCCUACUUGAGGUGUGUGCUGGAAAAAAAGGAUGUUGGAGAGCUCUGUUCUCCAGCCUGAGGAAAUCAGACGUCUCCUUGCUCUUCAACCUCCCCUGCCUUCCCUGUGGACUCCUCUGGCUCCCUGAUAUUCCUAGCCAUCAUCUGCUCUUCUCUAUGUCUCAGUUUCCCCACUUCUCUUCUCUUUUUAUUUUCUUUUUUAAAUUUUUAUUUAUUUAUUUCUUGAGACAGAGUCUCACUCUGUUGCCCAGGCUGGAGUGCAAUGGUGUGAUCUCGGCUCACUGCAACCUCCACCUCCUGGGUUCAAGCAAUUCUCCUGCCUCAACCUCCUGAGUAGUUGGGAUGACAGGCAUGUGCCACCACACCCAGCUAAUUUUUGUAAUUUUAGUAGAGAUGGGGUUUCACCAUGUUGGUCAGGCUGGUCUCGAACUCCUGACCUCAGGUGAUCUGCCCACCUGGGCCUCCCAAAGUGCUGGGAUUAUAGGUGUGAGCCACCACGCCCGGCCUCUUUUUAUUUUAUUUUAUUUAUUUAUUUUGAAACGGAGUCUUGCUCUGUCACCAGGCUGGAGUGCAGUGGCAGGAUCUCGGCUCACUGCAACCUCUGCCUUCUGGGUUCAAGUGAUUCUCCUGCCUCAGCCUCUUGAGUAGCUGGGACAAUUUACGUGAGCCACCAUGCCCAGCUAAUUUUUGUAUUUUUUGUAGAGGCGGGGUUUCACCAUGUUGGCCAGGAUGGUCUUGAUCUCUUGACCUCGUGAUCUGCCUGCCUUGGCCUCUCAAAGUGCUGGGAUUAUAGGCAUGAGCCACUGCGCCCGGCCUCUUCUCUUUUUAGAUAAAAUAAUGAGAUGCUACGUCAUAGGAUCUGUCUCUGAGUCCACAUUGUGGGAGAAAAGACCAUUCUUCGGAAAGAUGCAGAGGAAGCCCCGUACCUCAAGGGAUUGAGAUGGGAGACUGAGGGAAUCCUGGGGUCUCUGCCCUCUCCCUCACUGGGAAACAAGCUCUGUUUCUUCAUGUGCUGGAGCCCUGCCUCUGUGGGUGCAGCCUGAGGACAAAGGCAGUGCUGCAUCCCCUGAUCCCCUGCCCCCUACAACCUCCUGCCCAGCCUCUUGGGUGCUCCUCAGCUUGUCGUCAGGGAGGAAGCAGCCAUCUCCUCCGAUGACUGACUUCAAGCCUCAACUCUCCCACAGCUUCUCAAAAGCCAAGGCUGAGGCCAAGUCCUAGCUGCUGCCUUGGGACAGGUCAAGGGCCUCCUGCAAUCUCAUGCACAAACUGGUACCCAUGAGCAUGUGGCCUAAGAGAUUUAUUGACCCCUCUCCAAGUCCUUGCCAGAGGAAUCCUGCACACCUAUAUCCACAAUGAAGGGAGCCAUAUCCCCAGCUGGGUAGCCAUAUCCCUAAUGAUAUCACUUAUGAAAGGUGACAAGUCCUUUCUACCACUCUUAUUUAAGUGAAAAUAUAUUUAGUCAAUUAUGGUCUUUCUCUUGUGUCUACUGAAAGCAUGGUAAGAGUCUGUUUUAACUGAGAAUAUUUUUUAUCUCCUCAUUCUACUCCCAAAUGAGUUUUUCAGGGUCCCGUGGUCUUGAUGGUCUUUCAACUAUAGCUGCCUAUAAACCCUGUACAUAGGGGACACUAUGACCCUUGGAUCUUUUUCUAUAAUGUCCAUGUUCCAGUGAGCCAUAGAGCCAGAUCCACUUGAAUUCAAUUUCCAAAAACAAACCUGCUGGGAUUUUGAUUGGAAUUGUAUUGAAUCUAUGCAUUCGUUUUGAGAACUGACAUCAUUAUAAUAUGAGCCUUCCCAUUUGUGAACAUGGUAUAACCCUACAUUUAUUUAGGUCUUUAAGUUCCCUCAAUAAUGCUUUGUAGUUCAGUGUAGAGGUCUUGCACAUUUUUCAUUUGAUUUAUUCCUAGGCAUUUGAUGGGCUUUGCUGCUAUUGUAAAUUGUAUUUUUAGAAGGGAUUUUCAUAAGCACUAGUGAUUGGUAGUGUAGGAAGGAGAACCCCAGCAAUACCUGCCCUUCAUCUUUAAAGAAAUCCAAGCUUAUGGAGAUAUAAUUCAUAUUCCAUACAAUUCACCCAUUUAAAGUAUACACUUCAAUGGUUUUUAGAAUAUUUGUAGGUAUGUGUAACCAUCACCACUGUCAAUUUUAAAACAUUUUCAUCACCUUAAAAAGUAACCUCAUGCCCUUUAGCUAUUACCCACCUAUUGCAUCUGUUACAGUCUGAAUACGUCUCCCCUCUAAAUUCAUAUGUUGAAAUCCUAACCCUCAAGGUGAUGGCAUUAGGAGGUGGGGCCUUUUAGGAGGCGAUUAGGUCAUGAUAGCAGAGUUCUUGUGAAUGGGAUUAGUGCCCUUAUAAAAAAGGCCCAGAGAGUUACUUUACCUCUUCUAGCAAGUGAGGACACAGUGAGAAGUCUCCACCUGGAGAAAGUGGGCCCUCACCAGACACCAAAUCUGCUGCUGCCUUCAUGCUGGACUUCCCAGCCUCCAGAACUAUGAGAAAUAAAUUCCUG